GCGAUACUAGCUCAGUUGGUUGCAAGGUUGAGGUCAUCGGUUCGAACCCGAUGUAUCGCUCCA
rnacentral:tRNA from 1 species